rnacentral:rRNA from 1 species
GAGGAAUAUUGGUCAAUGGGCGAGAGCCUGAACCAGCCAAAUCGCGUGAAGGAAGACUGCCCUAUGGGUUGUAAACUUCUUUUAUACAGGAAUAAAGUUUGCCACGUGUGGUAAUUUGCAUGUACUGUAUGAAUAAGCAUCGGCUAACUCCGUGCCAGCAGCCGCGGUAAUACGGAGGAUGCGAGCGUUAUCCGGAUUUAUUGGGUUUAAAGGGUGCGCAGGCGGGAAUUUAAGUCAGCGGUGAAAUCUCGACGCUUAACGUCGAACCUGCCGUUGAAACUGGGUUUCUUGAGUAUAGAUGAAGUAGGCGGAAUUCGUUGUGUAGCGGUGACAUGCAUAGAUAUAACGAGGAACUCCAAUUGCGUAGGCAGCUUACUAAACUACAACUGACGCUCAAGCACGAAAGCGUGGGGAUCAAAC